ACUUGCCGGACAGAACUUUCAGUUGUGCAACGGGAAAGCGGGACCAGGGCGUGGCCGGGCCACGCCUCGACCCUUCUCCUUAAAAAAUCUCCAGAAUUAAACACCUUUUCUGCCGUCUGCCUGCUUUAGUUUGGAGGAGAAUUUACCAACCCAAAUCUGGCCCAAGCCUGGACCGUCUAGAUAAGGAAGAGGAUCACAGAAACAAAUUGCUGCAUUCUUGAUGGAGAGACCAGCAAGUAACAGUUUGACUGCAGUGUGUCAGGCUCCACGGAGGUACUGGGGAUCUCACAAUUUAGGAGGAAAGACCCACAAAUUCCCCAUCACAUGACCAUGGGAUAAGGGAUGAAGUUCAGAUCCCUUACUACGUCCUCCCAGGACCUGCAGGAUUUGUCCCGGGCAGCCCCAGCUGCAGCCUUAUGCCUUCGUGUGCUUGUGCUCUGGCCCUGCCCUCCUUCUUUCCGAUCCUGGAAUGUUCUGGGCUCUUCCCCUUUCUGCCUUUGCUCAUCCCACCCCCUGGAAUUCCCCUCCCUUUCCUUUCCCAAAGUGCUAACUUUCCGCAGCAUUGCAUUUUAUUGCAAUUGUCUAUUGUCCAUAUAAAGUCCAAGAUACUCAUGGCCUAAUCCUAAAUGCAGUUUAUAUUUAAAGAAACAUGAGUCUGGCAUCCCAAAAGUAACUAAAAACAUUUCGAUCUUUAGGGCAGUCCUCUUACUGCAACUGAAAAUGCAAAUGCCGGAGUGGGUACACAAUGAGAACGCUCAGCAAAACACUUAAAAGUCCUUUCUCUUUUUAUCUUACUUCCAUUAUCUCCCCCAUGCUCUAAAAGUUCUUCUAUAAACUCUCUGAAAAACAAUCAGAAGAUGUUAUCCUGUCUUAUUUCUUUUUCUCAUCUCCUUCUGCAAUUAUGUCAUUCUUCCUGGAGGGUCCUGAGGGGAAAUCGUUGUGCAUACUAACGCAUUCUUUGGUCCCUGUCAUACUGUUGAUCUGCACCCACUGCUAGACUCUGAUGAAAAGCGUCAUUUGGUCUUAUUCACAGAACUUGAGGCUGUGCAUGGCAUACAAUAUGUCCUCAAUAAACAUUUAUGGGUGCAUAAGAACAAUUUGUUGGUUUCUUUCUAGGCUAAACGUCCUUCUUCAAAAGAUGAAAGACAUAGGCAGGGGAAUUUAGAAGGACACUUGUAAUUGAAAUGGUCUCUGGUCAUGUAGGAUUAGGUCAGGAGAACUAUCUAAACACGCCAGGGUACUAAUUCUACUGAAUGGCUCUCACAGCUGAUAGUGACAGUAAAUAAAUAAAAACAUAUAGUCGGGGCACCUGGGUGGCCCAGUGGGUUAAAGCCUCUGCCUUCGG